UUGAUUACGUCCCUGCCCUUUGUACACACCGCCCGUCGCUGCCCGGGACUGAGCCAUUUCGAGAAAUUCGGGGACGGUUAGUGUGCCGGCUUCGGCCGACGCACGGACUGGAACCGAUUUAAUCGCAGUGGCUUGAACCGGGCAAAAGUCGUAACAAGGUAGCUGUAGGUGAACCUGCUGCUGGAUCAUUACCCAAGUGAUUCCAUUCACCAUCUACCUGUGCUGUCCAGUUGGAACGUUGCUUGGCACCACCACAUGCCCCCGUCUGCUGUUGAGACGGGCACGGACCGGUCGAGAUGGUCUGUGGGCACGGGACAACACUGAGCGGACGGCUACCCUGCGAGCACUCUGUGCUUUGGGGUGUUCUCCGUCGAUGGUGCUUGGUAUACUGACUCGUUGCUGAGCAAAGUGAUAAUAAAAGCCUGAGGUUUGGCUGCGAGGCAAUUGAGUUGGUGGCGGACCGCCUCGCUGGUGGGUUUGCUGUACCGUCGAAGGGAGCACGCUCGUUGGGUAACCCAACGGCUGUGCUGGUGUCUGUGCGUCGUUGAGCGGUUGUUGUGCCUGGCACAUGUGACACACUGGCCUGGGAAGGUGGUUCUUUCCUGGCCUUACGAACCGUAACUAGCGGUGUGUCUGUGCUUGUGUGCUACGUCCGUGGCCGUGAUGAGACGACGUGGUAGGGUCCGUGCUCUGCUUAUAGCACGUGGCUUAAGACUUAAUGAGUGUCAGCUAGGCACCGCCAGUGUUUUUUUUCAUUUAUUUUUUUGACCACUUCUUUGUUGAAGGAAGAAAUUCUAGUCUUAUCGGUGGAUCACUCGGCUCGUGGAUCGAUGAAGAACGCAGCCAACUGCGAUAAUUAGUGCGAACUGCAGAAACCUUGAACACAAAACUUUCGAAUGCACAUUGCGCCAUUGGAGUUACAUCCAUUGGCACGCCUGGUUCAGGGUCGUUAUCAUAAAAGGCACUGCUGUGCCUGUUAUGUUGGUGAGAUCAUGUCUGCAGGACGUGUUCUUGCGCUAUUCUUGAAAAUGCUCGGCCGUGGAGUGUGGUUGUGUUGGCGCGAAACUGUCAGGUUCUUUCGCGUUUUACGGUCCGUAACUAGGGCGCAACUGCUCUCCAUGUGUGCUGGGUGGAAUGCUUCGCUGGUAGGCAUUCCGUGUUUGAAUUUUCGACCUGAACUCAGACGUGAGUACCCGCUGAACUUAAGCAUAUCAGUAAGCGGAGGAAAAGAAACUAACGAGGAUUCCCUUAGUAACGGCGAGUGAAA
rnacentral:rRNA from 1 species